AUUGAACGCUGGCGGCAGGCCUAACACAUGCAAGUCGAGCGGAUGAAGGGAGCUUGCUCCUGGAUUCAGCGGCGGACGGGUGAGUAAUGCCUAGGAAUCUGCCUGGUAGUGGGGGAUAACGUCCGGAAACGGGCGCUAAUACCGCAUACGUCCUGAGGGAGAGAGUGGGGGAUCUUCGGACCUCACGCUAUCAGAUGAGCCUAGGUCGGAUUAGCUAGUUGGUGGGGUAAAGGCCUACCAAGGCGACGAUCCGUAACUGGUCUGAGAGGAUGAUCAGUCACACUGGAACUGAGACACGGUCCAGACUCCUACGGGAGGCAGCAGUGGGGAAUAUUGGACAAUGGGCGAAAGCCUGAUCCAGCCAUGCCGCGUGUGUGAAGAAGGUCUUCGGAUUGUAAAGCACUUUAAGUUGGGAGGAAGGGCAGUAAGUUAAUACCUUGCUGUUUUGACGUUACCAACAGAAUAAGCGCCGGCUAACUUCGUG
rnacentral:rRNA from 1 species